rnacentral:rRNA from 1 species
UACGUAGGGGGCAAGCGUUGUCCGGAAUCAUUGGGCGUAAAGAGCGCGUAGGCGGUCCGGUAAGUCCGCUCUGAAAGUCCGGGGCUCAACCCCGGGAGGCGGGCGGAUACUGUCGGGCUAGAGUCCGGAAGAGGCGAGUGGAAUUCCUGGUGUAGCGGUGAAAUGCGCAGAUAUCAGGAGGAACACCAAUGGCGAAGGCAGCUCGCUGGGACGGUACUGACGCUGAGGCGCGAAAGCGUGGGGGAGCAAACAGG